rnacentral:lncRNA from 1 species
GAGGUCACGAAUGGAAGCUUUGACAGUAUAGCCACGCUCAAGCAACAGCUUGACUAGCCAUGAAGCUAUGUAUCCCGAAGCUCCAGUCACGCACACCACCUUCCCUUCUCCGCUCAUUUCUCCUCUUCAGUGAGUCUCUGUUUCUGCAUCUGGUGUAAUCAGUGAAAGUGCAAGGAAGCUGGGAAUUGGAACCAUCCCAAAUUGUCUAAAAACUAAUGCUCGAGCUACUUUUGUGGUGGACGAUGAAUGCGUACACUAAAUUUGUAGGAAAUAUAAAGGGAUAAUUUCAGAAACCUCCCUAGCGUUUUGUAUAAUACCAGUCAACACACCUGAGGUUUUUAAAAUCUCGUAUACCUCCCUAGAUUGACAUUUCUUAUAACAUUUAGCCCUUCGAAGGAAAUACAAGAAAGAUAAAUGCAAUAAUGAGUAAUUUUACAGAUAUACAACAACUAUUAUCUAAUAUAAUGCAUGAUGUUUAACCAAACAAAACAAGGAUAUUCCUAAACAUAUAUUUGGUCAUUGGAUCAUUUUUUGAUUAUUUUUUAAUUUCUGACUUAUUUAUAAAGUUUUUCUAUAACUUGGACUUAUAUUACAAACUACACAUAUGAGGAGAUUAUUUCAUUUUUUAGUACAACUUAAACUACACCAUGUAUUAAAACAUAUUUCUUAAAUAAUUUAUUGAUUUCAUUAUAACUGCCCAUAAAAAUUUUUAAGGCGUUAGUUACUUACCAAAAUCCUUGUAAAUAGUUAACUUUGACUAGAUUUAAUUUAUCCAUGUUCUUUGUUGUCCCACAAUGACCUUGAUAUUUAUUUUUUAAUUUAUAUUUGUUGGUUUAAAAUUUUUAUUUUGUUUUGGCUUUUUGGUUAAAUAGCUAUUAAAAGCAAGGGUAACAUUGUCAAUUUUUGACCUUUGUAGGAAUAUUUGAUCUUAUCAAACUGACAGGGGAAGUAAGUGAGAUUUUAAAAAUCUUAGAGGAACUGAGUAAUAUCAUGAGAAAUCUCAAGUGAGGUUUCUGAAAUUAUCCCAAAUAUUAAACCAAGCCCAUGUGCUUCUAGUUACUUAUUGUUAUUUACUUAGGAUGUAUAUGAUAAAAUUGAAGUUUGAAAACUAAAAUUUGAAAUAUAAAUUUAUUAAAUUACUAAAUCGUUAAAUAUUAAAUUUGAUACAUUUCAGUGUAUGUCACAAGUGAAUAACUUAUCAUUUAUUUUUUAAAGCAAGUUUUGCCUAAAAAUUUCAAUAUCACUUAAUUAAUUCAUAUGUUCUAUUUUUUAUUAUCAAAUAUAUCUGAAUAUAUUAAAUUUAAAUUUUAUUAAAUUUAAAUGAUAAAUUAGAUUAUCAAAGAGGGCUUAUUUAUUUGGUUGUGUCCUAAGUUCAAUAGCCUAUUAUUUUGGAUUGCAUCAAGCUUGGGCCAUGUGAAAUUGGUCCUUAGAACUAGUAGUACUGUUAACAUAAUGUGGAUAAGUCAACGCAUUGGGCUUAAUCGGAAAAAUGACCAUUUCGGUCCUUUAUCUUUGAAGUUUUAAGCAAUUUAGUCCCACAUGUAUUAUCUCUACCAAUUUAAUCCUUUGUCAUUAAAAAAUAUAGCCAAGGAAGUGGAAUGUAUGCGUAAUUGGCUCUCAUGAUCUUUACGAGCACCCUCACAUAAAUGAUCUUGCCUAUAUGCCUGCCACUAAAAAUGGAAGAUUUGGAUUCAAUUUACUGGUGGGUGGAUUCUUCAGCCCCAAACGUUGUGCAGACGCAAUCCCUCUUGAUGCAUGGGUUCCAGGAGACGAUAUAAUACCUGUUUGUAAAGCAAUACUGGAAACUUUCAGAGAUCUUGGUACAAGGGGGAACAGGUAGAAACAAGAAUGAUGUGGUUGAUUGAUGAACUUGUGAGCAUUUCAUUCUCUUUUCAUUCAGAAGAUCAUUAAUAAGUUACUGCAGUUAAAUGCAAAUUUUGCGGAACAGAUCACGUGGUUAAGAGGAUGCCCCAACAAGAGCUAGAGAGAGCAUCAUCUGAAGACCUGGUUCGAAAGCAAUGGGAGAGGAGAGAUUAUCUUGGUAUCCAUCCACAGAAACAGGAAAGCUAUAGCUUCGUUGGUCUUCAUAGCUUGAGGCAUUGCUCAAAGAGCAUCUUUUAAAGAACAGGUUUUCUCCAGAACCACCUAUUCUCAUGAGAGGCUUGGUAGCUUGUACUGGCAAUCAGUUCUGUGGGCAGGCAAUAAUAGAGACUAAAGCUCGUGCACUGAAGAUCACAGAGGAGGUUCAGCGCCAAGUUUCCGUCACUUGGCCUGUAAGAAUGCACUGGACUGGCUGCCCAAAUUCCUGUGGACAGGUUCAAGUUGCAGAUAUUGGAUUCAUGGGAUGCAUGACAAGAGAUAAAAAUGGAAAGCCAGUCGAAGGUGUGGAUGUGUUCUUGGAAGGGAGAAUUGGCAGUGAUUCACAUUUAGGAGAAGUUUAUAAGAAGGGAGUUCCAUCUGAUGAUUUGGUACCCUUGGUUGUAGACCUUAUAAUAAAUCAAUUUGGUGCAGUCUGUCGGAAGAGUGAAGAAGGGGAAGAGUAAUUUGGAUAACUCCUCUGGUUUAUCAUUUGGAUGUCUGUGCUGGGGAAAGAGAAUGACGAAAGAGGAGUUACUUUUUGACUAAUUUGAAACCAUUGUUCAGAAGCUUUCUGCAGCUUCUAACACAUACAAGAGUGUUUAGGCAUUGACACAUGGGUGAUCUAUUCCACGUACAAGAUGCUAGAAUAAAAUUUCUGACGUAACUUUGUUUAGAGAUGAAAUUAGACAGUUAUAAUUUAUACAUGAAACUAUUUCUGAGAAAGUACAUGCAUUUUCUUUUCCCUGUUUGAUCUGAAAAGGCAAAAUCCUCCAGCUACUAUUUUACUUGUAUGAAUAGCUCAAGAUGGAAUAUUUAUAUCAGGUAAAUCUUCUUCUUUGUCGUGCAUUUAGUAAAGAUGUAACCAACAACACAAAGUGGAAGACAAAUGAUUUGAUUAUCACAGCUAGCUUAAUACACGCAUUCCUGCUCAUUGCAGUAAUUGCAGUCCGCUUGUUGAUUAGGAAACCUUCAUUUCAGGCUAUAGGUUGUUCUGAUUAUUUACCAGCUACUAUCUCAUAAAUGAAACAGCUAUGGAUAAAGAUCAUGCUUACUACUAGAUGGGUACAAUAGAUAAAAGUUUUUGGUUUGUUUCAAAUAAUGCUAUUUAAUUCUCUUCAAAGAAUUACAGCAGAACCACAAUUUCUGCCAAUUGAGUUCUUUAUUUUGUCAUAUAUGUAAUCUGCUGAUUCAGCUAUGCAAUAUAUAUGUUAUCAAAUCAUUUACCAUACUAGUCUGACGUAAUUUUGUUAAGGCUGUGCAACUGAUCUGCCGUACUCGCUCUCUUGAAAGUUCUAGCUGUCUUCCUAUCUCCUCGAAUGAUUGAGGAGUAUUCCCAUUUAGGCCAUAGUACAGUCUUAAGAUAUUUACUUCUCUAUCACAUAGUCCCUUGAGCAGUUUCUCUAUAUCCCUCUUCAUGAACUGUUUCUUCACUAUUGCUUCUGGAGUUGUUUCAUCUGGUCCUGCUACAAUCUCCUGCGCAACCAUUGAAAUUCAAUAGCUUAUAAACAGAUACUGCUCAUAGUUGCACUCUGAUAAUUUGAACCAAAGUGUACCCUUUCACUUUAAGCAUUCCUUUUUUUUUUGGCUGGGUUUAUACUAGGGAAAUGACAAAGAGGGUAAGGGAGAAAUGGAGCAGUAAGAAUCAACACUGAAACGAUAAUUUUCAUACUCUUGUAAAGGACAUCAGGAAUAUGUAGAUGAACGUCGAUGACUCCUACUUAAUGGGAUUCUAAACCAUUAAGCAUUUUCUUCAAAAGGCUAUGGCUGUCUCGUCAAUCUUUUCUUUUGAAAGGAAUCCAAUGAUAGUAUAAUGUCAUCUAGUUUUCUGAUCUCUGCUAAUGUAAGAACAAUUUGCCAGUUGCAAGUUAUAGCUCUCACUGUUACUUUCAGAUCUGGCAGGUCUUUAAUUUCCUUUUAAGCAUUUAUUGGCAACCUUUCUCUAGCAUUUCUUCAAUAGAGGAAAUAAGAAGGAAAUGAGAGAAUCUGGACAAUAAGGAUCUAAUCCUUCAUCUAUGACAAGGGACGAAUCCAUUUGCGAUUCAAACUUUAAGUCUUGUAAAGAACGGUACUCCUCUUUAGAGAAAGGAGUGAAUUGUAUUGUAGGCUGCUUCAGGAAUAGUUAAGAUGUCCUCAAUCAUUUGCCUAAAAAGGCUUUGACUGUGUGGUUAAAUGGUUUUUAUUUCGAGAAUCAAUUUUUCAUAUCAGGUUGUCUCAUUCUUUUAGACUAGUAUGGUACCCCAUGUUGUUUGCUAUGUUCUAUUCUUAUGAGUCUAGUUCUUUUUAAAUGUGAUUUGGUCUUGAACUUUGAGUCUGUUUUGACGAUUCAUUCUGAUCUUACUUGCAAAAGACGUUUUAAAACGUUUCUUGCAAGGCAGUUGCCUAACCAUCAUGACUUUGAAGGAGAAAACUGCACCUUCUUGGUCUCCUAUAACACACUGAAUUUAUCGUAGGACAUGGUUUCGAUGAGAAAAGAAAGAGAACAAAACUGAAAUUUAUUAGAACCUGCAAUGACAUGGAAGCUCCAGCUACUAUUGGUUGAUCUAGGGAAAUUGGCUCUCUGUUUCUUUCAAGAGCAAGCCACACAGUCGACAUGUCCCUUUUAACUGCUUCUGCAAUUUCUUGGCAUGUUGGCAGCUUCCGUAGCCUCCUGCUUAAGACAGCAUUUGCCUCGCAUAUCCUUGGGACCAGUUCACUUACGCUUCCCUACACAGGACAGGCUAAUUGCAUUCACCAAUUACAAACUUUCUUUUCAAAGUCAUAUACACUACAAAUUAUUUCACUCAAUUCAGCCAAGAACAAAAUGAUCUUGGAUAUCUAUGGUCCACAACAGCAUGCACCAUGAUAAAUUUAGGGAAUGUGCUCAUGUAUGCUGCUGAUUCUGUAUUAAAUACGAUUGUGCAAAUAGACUAUAUCGAUGCAUGGAAAAACCAGGCAAAGAAUGCUUUGCAUGAAUCUGUAAUGUUACUCAACUGGCUGGCUAUGUUAUUACAGGUGUUGACAUUUGCUUCAUAGCAAAUAAACAAGAAAAAAAAAAGGAACCUGAAUAGAGAAAAGGCAAACUAAAGCUUCAGCAAAAGCCAGAAACUGUGUACAUCAAGCUGAAGACUGUGACUGUUUCAAACAGACUAGAACAAACUUUAAGAGUGAUUAAUAAGUGGUGGUGAAUAGAAGGGUAGUAGCUGAACAAAUUUAAUUGGUCAGGUGGACCUGUAGAAGAACAGAGAAUUUAACAGUAUGUAUUUUCUUACCGGCAGCCGAGUAAUUUUAGACUUCUUUGCUAUCGCUUUCGUGAUAGCUUGCCUAAUCCACCAGUAAACAUAAGUUGAUAGCUUAUAGCCCUUCUCUGGAUUGAAUUUCUUUGCACCAUGAAGAAGCCCAAGAUUUCCUUCCUACACAGAGACAAAGCAGGUUUUAUAUAUAAAUAACUGAAGAUAACUGCUGACUAAAGAAGUGAAAUAAAGGAACCUGGAUCAGAUCUUGCAAGCUCAACCCUUUGCCUUGAUAAGAAGAUGCAACAGAAAUUACAAGUCUUCUGUAGCAUCUUGUGAUUCUUUCCUGAGCUUCUCUGCCAUCACACAAAACCUUAUCUAGUGAAUUUUUACUCAUCCCUGCUGCCUUGGCCCAUUGAGCAAAAGUGACUUCAUUCUCAGUAGUCUCUUCAAUUCUCUUUCUCACAGCUUCAACUCUUGCCUCUUCCUAAAAAUGUUCAGAAAUCUCCGCUCAUUUAAUGAACAUUUACAUAUUUUCUGAUUAAACACUUAAAUUAAAUUAAAGGAGCAAAUGCUGUAACUUUAACCAAGAGACAAGUUUCACUUGCCAUCUCUAUGUGCUUGUUAAAUAGUUUUUUACAACAUGCAUAUGAUUUGAACUAAGGUUCUUUCUUUGUCUUUUGCUAGGUGCAUAGGACUUUAAUGUUCCAUUUACCAAUAAAAUGUAGAUUGAGAACUGCUGGAAAUUUUCCUGUUUCAGGCUUUGAAAGCAGAACAUACCUUAAGGCAAAGAGUAUAUUCUGCCUCUUGUUUAGGUGUCAAAUAUUGCCCUGAAUUGGUUGGUUUUAUAGCAACAUUCAUAAUUACUUUCUCAUUCUCCAAAUUCUCAGAAAAAGCCUUUCUCCUUUUUCUUCUCCUCUUCCUCCUCAUCAACACUCCAUUUCUCCAAGUCUUCUCUUCAUCAUCUUUCUUCCACUCUCUGAAAUCCAAGAAGUUCUCAAUUUCAAAUGCGGAAGCAACCGCAGCUCUUGCAGCCUUAGCAGCAUCAAUGGUGAGUGUCACGCCCUCAUGAGUAGCUGUAGAAGUGGCAAAUGUAGCCUCAGGAGUUGACUUCAGAGCAUGCUUAGAGGAAGAAUGACUUGGAGGAAGAUGCAGAUUGUUGAAAACUUGAUGACAUGAUUUAGUUGGACUAUAGUAAGAGAAGGAUAUAGUGGGAAGAGUUGAUGAAUGGUUUGUAGAUGAGCAUCCACUGAUCGCCAUGAAACUUUGAAGCGAGAGCUCUGUUUUUGGAUAGACUGAGAGGAUGCAGAAAAUAUUGUCCAAAGGUUUUUGAAGAUAUAUCAUUUAUACUCUCUGCAUGAUAUUUUCCUAUGCGGGGUCCCAGAGGAUGAAACAUAAAGCAAAGAAUGAAAUAUUCCACUUUGUAUCCAGCAGAAACUAGACAUACACUUGGUGGUGUGCCAUUGUUUCCUAAUGUGCACCAGCUCAUCAUGUGCACCAGCUCAUCCUCGUAGUAAAAUUAAGGAAUGCAUUUGAUAAAAUUGAAGUUUAAAAUUUGAAAUCUAAAAUUUGAAAUCUGAAUUCACUAAAUUAUUAAAUUGUUAAAUAUUAAAUUUAAGAGUUAUUAUCACUUUACUCCCUUAACAUUUAGUGUCACUGUUAAUUUCUCCAUCAAUGUUACAUUUUAGUUACUUUACCUCCAAAAUUAACGGUUAAACUUAACGAAAUUUGUUAAUUAAAAUAAAAAAACAUGUUUAGCUCUUAAAAUUAUUAUUACUUUACCCCUAUAAACUAUAGUCUCAUUAUCAAUUUACCCCCUAAAGUUAUUUUUUAAACAAUUUAUCUCACCGUUAAACCAACUUAACAAGUUAAAAAACUUUAGAAGAAAGUACCAUCCUCUUUGUGUAAUAAAAACAAUAGAAAAUUUAGAGUAGCUUUUCUCCUUUUUAGUAUCAAGAAAAAAAAAAGUCAAAAUAUUAAUCUCUUAUUUCUUGACAAUCUUAUCAAUAUUGAAAAAAAAUAGAGAGAGGGGGGGAGGGAGGGAGGGAGAGAGAGAGAGAGAGAGAGAGAGCUCAAUUCUUUUUUUUUUAAAAAUACAAAUAAGAAAGAAUUAAAUAUUUUUAUUAUUUUAAAUUAUUUUACUUUUCUGUUUAUCACUCAAUUCCAAUUCUAAUCCCGACAACUUUAAAAUAAUACGACAAUGUUAGACUCUUCUUUGUUUUCUUUUUUUUUUUUGUAAAAUCUAAUUUUUUUUGUCUCCUUCUUUCCUAUCUAUUUUCCAUUUUCUAGUAUUAAUAAGUGUGAAAAACAAAAAUUUGAGAAAAUUCUUUUAUUUUUAUAUUUUUGGAUCUCUUAAAAUGAAAAAGGGUAGAAUAACUAUUGUAAUUUUUUUAAUUAUAAUUAUAUAUAUAUAAAGGGUAAAUACAUUUAAAUUUGUUUUACCAUACUAGUUAGAUUAACAAUGAGGUAAAAUACCUAAACAAUAAUGUUAGGGAUUAAAGUGAUUAUAUCAUUAUAAUAAAAAGGGAUAAAGUGAUAAUAAUAAUGUAGUAAUGCUAUAGAAUAAAAGGGUAUUUUUGUCCAAAAUUUCUUAACAUAUUGAGUUGAAUUAUUUAUAGAGAUAAAGUGACUAAAAGAUAACUUAGGGAGUAAACUAAUGGUAGCGAUAUAGUUUAAAGGCAUAAAGUGAUAAUAUUCCUAAAUUUAAUACAUUUGAGUGCAUAUCACGUUCAGUGAUGAGUGAAUAGUUUAUCACUUAACUUUGAAAGCAAGUUUUGCUUAGAAAAUUCAGUGCCACUUAAUUAGUUUAGAUGUUCAAUUUUUGGUUAUCAAAUGAUUUGAAUAUGUUAAGAUUUGAAUUCAUUAAAUUUAAGUGCUGAAUUAGGUUAUCAAACAGGCCGGAACGAGAGUUCAUAUUUUGUUACUUAACCCAAAAAAAAAAAGUAGGGAGAGUUCAUACUAUCUUACUUAACCCCAAAAAAAGAAAAGAGAAGGGGCACAGUUGACUGGCAUUUUGGAAAUUAAAAAAAAAAACAGUAGAAUGCGUUUGCAUUUUGGAAAUUAAAAAAAAUAACAAUAAAAUGCGUUUGCCAAGAAUCACCGGUGUGCAUCAUUAAUACUUCUGGUAGCAACUCAGGUACUCGAACAAUAGUCCCAUUGCGAGCAAUCACAAACGUAAAAAUUAACGCGGAAAUAGUAGUAUGAGAUAAAAAAGAAAAAUUAAGUGGUACGAUGUUGACUAGUAAAUUAUUACACAUAAUCAAUUAACUCUUAUUCAAAACAAAAUUUAACUUUCCAACUUGUAAUCAUUAUGUUGACUAGUGACAAAUUACACAUAAUCAAUUAACUCUCGUUCAAAACAAAAUUGAAUUUGUCAACUUGUAUCCGUUUCCACUCUUUCUUUAGUAAAAAAAAUCAUUUUAUUUCUAAGAUAAUUAUAGGCAAAAAGAAAACAUUAAUUAUAGGCAAACUUUAAGCACGAUGUUAAUAGGACUAGUGACAAAAUUUACCUUAAUCAAUUAACCAUUACUCAAACACAAAAAAAAAAAAAAAAAAAAAAUUCAACUUGUAACUUGAGCUUGUAAAGAAAUCAUUCCAUUUGAUAGAUAAUUAGCAAAUUGAGUUUGAAAACAACUGGGUCGAAAUUCUGUUAGAAGAGAACUCUUGAAAAUUUUUGUAUCAAGUAUAAGAUUCGAAUUUUGUAAUCGGCAAUUUUGACGAGAAAGACGCAGGGGAGUGGGAAUGUUUUUUUUUUUUUUUAAAAAAAGGAACAAAUUGAGUUUGCAGCUAAUAUGUGACAAAAUCCGUCGAACUCUGUGGCUUAAAAGCUUACGGUACCCAGCCGCCACAUGAUCUGGCCUUUUCAACCACUCUUUAGGCCGCUUGCAAUGCGGUGGAAUGGUCGUAGUGAUCGAGUUGGCGGCGGUGAUUGUCCGCUUGGCCUUUGGCUAUGCCUGGAGGCCAAAACGUCACCAUAAUUCGAAAUAGUUGUAGAGGCUAUGAAAUUAUAUCGAUCUCUCUUUUAUCAGGUAAUUAUUUGUGGUUAAAAUAAUUUGUCUUUUUUUUUACCCUCCUUAUUUGCUAAACUUCAUUCUAAUCCAUUUUCCUGAUAAUUUAAUUUCUCAAUUCAUAAAGCUCAUCCUAAGAGUACAAUCAACAAUGAUAACAAAAUUUGCAUUAUUUGAUCUAGUAAAAGUUUGUGAAAUCUUUCCUAACUAAGCUACUUGUUUAUAACUUUACAUUAUGCUCUAAUUAUUCCUCGAUCGACGACUUCAAGAAAAGGGACCAUAGUUUCCAAAUUUUGAGGUACUUCAUUAAAAAAAAAUGGACCUUAAUAUGAUCCCCUAAGUGGCUAAAAUAAUAGAUACGUUUUCGAAAUAUAUAAUGUGUGUGUAUAUAUAAACAAAACAACUACAAAUGAAAUAUGGACCACUUUGUCUUAAUUUUUUGUCAACAACGAAAAUACUUUGUUUUAUAUGUUGGGAACUAAAUUAAAAUGCUCUCAAACUGUGAAAGUUUUUUUUUUCUGAUGGAGUGGGUGUCCGGAUCAAUUCUUACGAUUGACCGACUAAUCCCACUCACCCCCGAAUGGAGAGAACAGCGGGACUCGAAUCCUGGUUGUCAGAAAAAUCGCCAUACUCUAAAGAGGGGGAGCGGACCGCUCGAGCUACCCUGUGGGGGCCUCAAACUGUUAAAGAUUACUUUAGCAAUUUCCCUUAAUUGAGCUACUUACAAUAUGUUACACCUCUUGUGUACCAAAAAAAAUCUAUAUACACAAUACAUAAGACUGAAGUUGGAGUACUACGUGACAAUCACAUUUUAAAUUUUUUUUGUUAUAUCCUUGAUGAUUGUAUAAGUAAAAUGGUCUCAAUAUAUUAAAAAUAAAAACAAAAGUGUAGAGUUUGAAUAAUAUUGGAAGUGUUUGGAUAGCUUUUUAUUACAAAUUUUUUUUGUACUUACAACAUAAAUACAUUUUCUUUACCGUUUAGUCUUUUUAACUACUUUUCUAUUUCAUGUACGUUAUAUUAUAAAAUGUGUUCCAAUACUGUAGUAUUUCAAAAAAAAAAUUCUCAAAUAAUCUUCUAUCCGAAUUUCAACUCGAAUAGACCCUAUGUAUUAGAAGAAAGAUAAGUACAUGGGCAGCUUUUUGAUUUGUUUUUCUAAUUAAAAGUUAGAAGUACAAGUUUAAAAUAAAAAUCAACUCGGGCAAUGGUCUCAGAACUUUUCCUUUUUCUUUUUUUUUUUUUGUGUGUGGUAAAAGAAAUUACACUUGUGGACUUGAUAAUCUAUAAUAAUGAGACAGAUUUCUGUAACAAUAUCACAUAACUGAGAUAUGUUUGAUAAUCUUGGUCUAAUCUUAAUCAAUUGAACAUGAUGUUAGAAAUAACCUGUGGUUUCUGGAGCUACGCCUAAUCAUCUUGCUAACAAACCUACUCUUUCCCCUAACAAAUCAUGAUUUGAUGUUACUUAAUUCAUCAUAUACUUUAAAGGAACUGUAUUAUCUCGACAACUGUACACUAACCCACUGCCAUUCAAUUUACUACUUGCGCGUUAUUUAAACCUGUCCGGUUAUUCCUUCCUCAGUCCUCACCGCCUACCAUUUAACACUAUCAUUUUCCAUUAAAUAAUUAAGAACUUAUCUAAAUGACUACCCACUAAUCUAAACCUAUUUUACUUAAUCCUUUAUAUACAUUUACCGUGCAAAUGUAAAAUAAAUUCCUACAAAUGUAUUAUAUUUAUUUAAUGUUAACACAUUUUUAAAUAUACAUUUAUCACCUGUGAAACCUUAAUCUAAUGAUUAAAAUUAAAAUUUCAAAAAUUAGAGGUUUCAUAUUCAAAUUCCUCCCCUCUUUCUCUAUUUUGUUGUAAGUCUCAACCUUCUCUUGUUUUGGAUAAAAAAAAAAAAAAAAAGUGCAUUAAUCACCAUCGGUCGGUAACCUUAGCGGAAAGGGUACAAGAAGUCCAUCGUUUCAGGCUGUAAACAACCUAUGUGCUAGAGGCCAAAACGACCUUUAGCAGCUACCAAGAGUCCACUGGAAACCAUUGUCACAUAUUCAUCCCCUACAAAUGGUCUCACCUCAUUCUCUACUUCCUCCAACUCUUCGCCGUUUCCACCACCGAUCCCACCAACCCUGAAGAAUUUCUUGCAGUUUUGGAAGAAUGGCAUCACUUUCAGUUAAAUUCUUGGCACCAAAUCCAUUGCCAAACUCUAAGACUUUUAGGCUUCAUGCAACUCCACCAGCAUCUCAGACUGUUGCACCACCAGCAUCAUCAUCAGGGGGGGCAGCAGAUGUUGAUGCUCUGAGGCUGGAGCCUAGAGUAGAGGAAAGAGAAGGAUAUUGGGUGCUAAAGGAGAAAUACAGACAAGGUAUAAAUCCUCCGGAGAAAGUCAAGAUUGAGAAGGAGCCUAUGAGGUUGUUCAUGGAGAAUGGAAUUCAAGAGCUUGCUAACAUCCCACUUGAAGAAAUUGAUAAAUCCAAGCUUACUAAGGAUGAUAUUGAUGUGAGACUCAAGUGGCUUGGUCUGUUCCAUAGGAGGAAGCACCAUUGUAAGUCUGAAAAGUUUUUUUAGGAUGUGCUAAGGAAAUACAUACUUUUGUCACAGAUCAGUCGAUUUAUGUUCUAAAUAAUUAAUGACAUGCGUUUUGUGAUGAGUGGAUGGUUAAUAGAUAUCAUGAAUCGGUUAAGUGAUUUUCUAUUUAAAUUUUUCUGCCUUUGAUUGGAUUGUAGUCAGAAAAUUAGCUCUCCUUGCAUUUUUUAUAUGUCAAUGUUUGGUAACAUUUGUUGUGUGAUUAGUUAGGGAGCUAUAUGUCAUCUUUCACUACAUUAGUCUAGUUCUAGGCUUCUAGCUCAUUAUACUGGAAGAAGAUGUUCAUAUGAUUUUGGUAGAAUUGUCCCUGGAGUGAUCUCUUCAGUUUGACUAGAUUGUCCAUGUAUAAAAAACUAGACUAAGUUGUCUAGAUUGAAGUUGCAGACUUGCAAACAGACACCUAACAAUGCAUAUUUGAUUAAAUCAUAUAAUAUGUUGAAUAGGGUGAUGAAUAUUCAGCUGCAGCUGGUCUUUGUAUGUGAAAUGCACUAUGACUAGAAUCCCAUACUGUUGGAUGAGGUCAUACCCGAUUAGGAUUGCUGCCUUUGGCUUGCCUCAACCAUAUAUGCACACCUGAAAACAGAGGAAUGUUAUAUUUCUUUUACAGUGGAAUGGAUGUUCAUAGGGCCUGAAAAAUGGGAUCUAUGAGAGUCUUGGAGUUGAAACCACGUUAUAUAUUUGUAAGAAAGAUUUGUCCACCACAUAUACCUUUCUUCAUAUUUCAAAUGUUAAUUGCAUUAUACACUUAAUCCUAAUUUGCUGUUUGUGACUUGUGAUCACUAGAUGGUCGGUUCAUGAUGAGAUUGAAGCUGCCAAAUGGUGUAACAACUAGUGCCCAAACUCGAUAUCUGGCAAGUGUGAUAAGGAAAUAUGGGAAGGAGGGGUGUGCUGAUGUUACAACAAGGCAGAAUUGGCAAAUUCGAGGUGUUGUUCUCCCGGAUGUACCAGAGAUUUUGAAAGGACUGGAAGAAGUUGGCUUGACAAGCCUACAGAGUGGAAUGGACAAUGUAAGGAAUCCAGUUGGUAACCCUCUUGCAGGGAUUGAUCCUGAAGAAAUUGUUGACACAAGGCCUUAUACUAACUUGCUCUCUCAGUUUGUAACUGCAAAUUCCCGUGGAAAUCCAAGCAUCAGUAAUUUGUAAGUUUUUCUGUGCUAGCUAGCUCCCUUUGUUACGGAAAGGUAAUAAGUGUGUUAGUGAAGAUCUCGUUGCUUGGUUCUGAUAAAUAUAUUGUCUCAGCACAGUGGUUUUUCCCUUUUUCCCCCCAAUUUUUAGACAUUCUUUAUAAUUUUUAAUGCCUCUGGUGAAUUUACCAACAUUAUGAAGGAGAUGACAUCGUAAUAGAAAGUUGAAAAAAUUUACAGCAUACCGUUAUUUAUCGACAAAAGUUUCACUGAAUUUCAUCAAUAAGUUUUAACUUAGUAACUUAUGCUAUUUAUGCAGGCCAAGGAAGUGGAAUGUAUGCGUAAUUGGCUCUCAUGAUCUUUACGAGCACCCUCACAUAAAUGAUCUUGCCUAUAUGCCUGCCACUAAAAAUGGAAGAUUUGGAUUCAAUUUACUGGUGGGUGGAUUUUUUAGCCCCAAACGUUGUGCAGACGCAAUUCCUCUUGAUGCAUGGGUUCCAGGAGAUGAUAUAAUACCGGUUUGUAAAGCAAUACUGGAAACUUUCAGAGAUCUUGGUACGAGAGGGAACAGGCAGAAAACAAGAAUGAUGUGGUUGAUUGAUGAACUUGUGAGCAUUUCAUUCUCUUUUCAUUCAGAACAUCAUUAAUAAGUUACUGCAGUUAAAUGCAAAUUUUGCUGAACAGAUCAGAGGACAUGAAAUUAUUUUAGCUUAUUCGAAUUUGUCCAUGUCAAUCUUGCAGGGAAUAGAAGGUUUCAGGUCUGAGGUUGUUCAGAGGAUUCCCCAACAAGAGCUAGAGAGAGCAUCAUCUGAAGACCUGGUUCAAAAGCAAUGGGAGAGGAGAGAUUAUCUUGGUAUCCAUCCACAGAAACAGGAAGGCUGUAGCUUCAUAGGUCUUCAUAUACCAGUAGGUCGUGUCCAAGCAGAUGACAUGGACGAGCUUGCUCGUUUAGCUGAUGAGUAUGGCUCAGGUGAACUCCGACUAACUGUGGAACAGAAUAUCAUAAUUCCCAACAUUGAGAAUGCAAAGCUUGAGGCAUUGCUCAAAGAGCCUCUUUUAAAGAACAGGUUUUCUCCAGAACCACCUAUUCUCAUGAGAGGUUUGGUAGCUUGUACUGGCAAUCAAUUCUGUGGGCAGGCAAUAAUAGAGACUAAAGCUCGUGCACUGAAGAUCACGGAGGAGGUUCACCGCCAAGUUUCCGUCACUCGGCCUGUAAGAAUGCACUGGACUGGCUGCCCAAAUUCCUGUGGACAGGUUCAAGUUGCAGAUAUUGGAUUCAUGGGAUGCAUGACAAGAGAUAAAAAUGGAAAGCCAGUCGAAGGUGCGGAUGUCUUCUUGGGAGGGAGAAUUGGCAGUGAUUCACAUUUAGGAGAAGUUUAUAAGAAGGGAGUUCCAUGUGAUGAUUUGGUACCCUUGGUUGUAGACCUUUUAAUAAAUCAAUUUGAUGCAGUCCGUCGGGAGAGUGAAGAAGGGGAAGAGUAAUUUGGAUAACUCCUCUGGUUUAUCAUUUGGAUGUCUGUGCUGGGGAAAGAGAAUGACGAAAGAGGAGUUACUUUUUGACUAAUUUGAAACCAUUGUUCAGAAGCUUUCUGCAGCUUCAAACACAUACAAGAGUGUUUAAGUAUUGACACGUGGGAGAUCUCUUCCACGUACAAGAUGCUAGAAUAAAAUUUCUGACGUAAAUUUGUUUAGAGGUGAAAUUAGACAGUUAUAAUUUAUACAUGAAACUAUUUCUGAGAAAGUACAUGCAUUUUCUUUUCCCUGUCUGAUCUGAAAAGGCAAAAUCCUCCGGCUACCAUUUUACUUGUAUGAAUAGCUCAAGAUGGAAUAUUUAUAUCAGGCAAAUCUUCGUCAUUGUCGUGCAUUUAGUAAAGAUGUAGCCAACAUCACAAAGUGGAAGACAAAUGAUUUGAUUAUCACAGCUAGCCUAAUGCACGUAUUCCUGCUCAUUGCAGUAAAUGCAGUUCGCUUGUUGGUUAGGAAACCUUCACUUUAGGCUUUAGGCUGUUCUGGUUAUUUACCAGCUACUAUCUCAUAAAUGAAACAGCGAUGGAUAAAGAUCAUGCUUACUGCUAGAUGGGUACAAUAAAUAAGAGUGGAUACCACCAUUUUGAGAAAAGAAAUCCACUUUGGUCAAUUUGGUUUUUGGUUUGUUUCAAGUAAUGCUAUUGAGUUCUCUUCAAGGAAUAACUGCAGAACCACAAUUUCUGCCAAUUUAGUUCUUUAUUAUGUCAUAUAUGUAGUCCGCCGAUUCAGCUAUGCAAUAUAUAUGCUUUCAAAUCAUUUACCAUACUAGUCUCACUCUCACGGAAUUUUGUUAAGGCAGUGUAACUGAGCUGCCGUACUC